UCCUGAGGAACCUCACAUUUGAAAGAAGAGUGAACGGAAGUCAAAUGUGGAAACCACUUAAAUGUCCAUCAACUGAUGAAUGAAUAAACAAAUCAUGGUAUAUCCAUACAAGGAAUGUUAUUCACCCAUAAAAAGGAAUGAAGUCUUAAUACACCUACAACUGGAUGAACGUUGAAAACAUUAUGCUAUCCAUUCUGCUUCAGACCGGAAAGGAGAAACAGUCUCAUCUGCAUGAAAGUCCUAGUACUGCUGUAUCUCGUACUAUAAGUUCAGUUUUCUCCCGUCACCUGAGGGUAAGUUGAAGAAUAACUUCAUAAGCCAGGGAGAGAUACAUUUGGAUCAGGAGUUAGUGAUAACAGAUUGUGAGAUCCAUGAGAGCCCAGAAAAUAUCUUAGGAUCCCUAGUGCUUAGCACAGAGUUUGGCAUAUGGAGCACCCACCUGACUUCUGGAAGGCAUUGCUUCACUUUCAUAGACAGAAGAUGUAACGACUGCCACCAAGAUCCCUGGAGCUCUGCCUGGCGAUUCUCACUCCCACUGGGUAGCUGACAAAUUUUCCCUGAGAAGACAUGGUUUCCUCCAGCAGCAGCAGAAGGAGUCAUGGGUUUUUCUGUUUCAUAGCUCAAACUGUUGUGACUCGGAAUUAUACUAGGACAGGGCCCUGACUUAUUCUUCUGGGCUGGGCUGAGUAAGGCCUGGCUGAGUGUAGCUGGGUACACAGGUAGGGGUGGAAUCAAAGCUGGAGGUACUCUUAAUGCUGGUUAGGAAGAUUACUAGCUAGAAUAAGGUUGGCAAGAACUGGGUGAGCAGGGAUAGGAAUUAAGACUGAGGACUGGGCUGAGGGUAGGUCAGGGGUUCCAGCAGCAACACAGCUAGAAUGAAUGGAGAAGGACACAAACAAAACCAAGCUAAGAAGAGCCUAGAUCAAGCUUGUCCAACCCAUGACCCGCAGGCUCCAUGUGGCCCAGGAUGGCUUUGAAUGCGGCCCAGCGCAA
rnacentral:sRNA from 1 species